rnacentral:tRNA from 1 species
GGGUAUUGCUCAGUGGUAGAGUACAUGCUUAGCAUACAUGAGGUCCUGGGUUCAAUACCUGGUACCUCCA